UGGGGAAUUUUCCGCAAUGGGCGAAAGCCUGACGGAGCAACGCCGCGUGAGGGAGGAAGGCUUUUGGGUUGUAACCCUCUUUUCUCAAGGAAGAUAGUGACGGUACUUGAGGAUUCAGCAUCGGCUAACUCCGUGCCAGCAGCCGCGGUAAUUCGGAGGAUGCAAGCGUUAUCCGGAAUAAUUGGGCGUAAAGCGUUCGUAGGUGGUUUUGUAAGUCUGCUGUUAAAGCGUGUAGCUGAACUUCAUAUAGGCAGUGGAAACUACAAAUCUUGAGUCCGUUCGGGGCAGAGGGAAUUCCUAGUGUAGCGGUGAAAUGCGUAGAGAUUAGGAAGAACACCGGUGGCGAAAGCGCUCUGCUAGGCCGCAACUGACACUGAGGGACGAAAGCUAGGGGAGCGAAUGGGAUUAGAUACCCCCGUAGUCC
rnacentral:rRNA from 1 species